AGCUUUGCACAGUGGCAGUAUCGUAGCCAAUGAGGUUUAUCCGAGGCGCUAUUAUUGCUAAUUGAAGUCUUUUCCCAAUACCCUGCCAUGAUGACUUGCAAUAUAGUCAGCAUUGGCAAUUUUUGACAGUCUCUAAGGAGA
rnacentral:snRNA from 1 species